UGAAAAGAAUAUGGCCUGCAACUCACUA
rnacentral:piRNA from 1 species